UAUGCUCCAAUUCUAGGCUCAUGGUUCAUCCUUCCGAGAAGACACUGGCUUCGGAUAGAGGCUUUUCUGCAGGGACAGAUACACCGACCAGCCAGCUCAAGGCUGUCAGUCGUGUUGAAAACCACAUUUCUCAUUCUGAGUUAAUAAGUGAUGUCUGCUUUUGACAGUGAUUUUGGACAGCUCGAGCCAGCCCCGCCAGUACCAGGCAUUCCUGGUCUUUGACCUGUAAAAGAACCUGGCAUUCAGACCUCAUAAGAUGCCGCUUUGAAACAUUAGUCGGCCAUCUUCUCCGACUGCUGGCUUUGCAAAUAAAGUAUUCCUUGCCUCAGUACCUGGUCUCCGAUUCACUGACCUGCCAUGGGACAAGCAGAGCGAACUUGGACUCGACCCGAGUUACCAGCACCGGAUGGAAACCAAAGACAUCACUAACCCCUGAAGUCCUUCUGUGGGCCAUUCCAAUCAUUCCUCCUGACCCAGGUCUAGUAGCACUGAUUGCUUUGUUUGCCUCUGUCCUUCAUGUAUCUGGAAUCAUAUAGUAUAUAGUCAUUUGUGUCUGACUCCUUUCAUUCAACAUUAUACUACUGAGAUUCAUCCAGCUGUUGCAGCAAACUAUAAUCGUUUUGAG
ensembl:lncRNA